AUUACAAUAUUACAGUAGUAUUAAGACCAUGUGUUAAAAGGUAUUAACGGACGAUAUACAUAGUCAUACAAUGUUUAUGUUGGCCAUUCUAACUGUCGCUUAGUAUGUUAAAUCAUAAUUUGUGCUAAAGUCAGAAAUUUGUUCAAUUCGGUGGAUUCGAGCAGAUUCUUUGUGGUUGUGGCGGCACUCGACAAGCCAAAUACCACCAUUCGACAUUAAUUAGUGUCGGACGACGGCAGCGCAGUGGUUAACGCGUUAGGUUACGAACGUUCGGAACCCGGCGACCGGAGACCGAUUUUUCUUCUACGCAACUAAAUUAGGAAGAAAAAUCAGCAGUACCCCAGCAGCGACAUCUACAGCCCCUAGCGACAAUUAGCCUGGACGAGGCCCAGCAACUACAACUAUCACGGACAACAUAUAUACCACCUCAUGGUCUUGGACAACUGAUAACGAGUACGAGUUUAUACUUGAUGGACCAUCCAAUUCUGAUUGGCACUGCAUAAGUCUCUUUAUUGAGAGUCACGGUCUGAUUGAGGUUUAGAUAUAAGUGACUCUAACAGGAAUCGUCUUCCUAAUUGAGAAUUUUUAAGGUUGCUGAUUAGCCUGUGUUCCGAAAAACAAUAAUUAAUCACCCUUUAUGGAGAGAAGGUAAAGCGAUCUCAGAAAUUAUGGAGGUAGUUUUCCCAACACUGUGAAAUUUCUUCCCAGUCUCAACAAUUGGUACCUGUGCAUUGACGUCGACUGAGAUCCUAAUAACUAUAUAUAUUUAACUAUAGAAUAACUAUAUAUAUCCUAAUAAGUUAUAAAUACCAUGAAAUGGCAUCACAAAGAAAAUGCGAACAAAUUGAAAUGAGUUCUGAAGGAAAUCGUGCCUUCUGGAAGAUUCUAUUAUAAUGUAUUUGAAUUUUCCAUGUUUGUGGAUUUUAAAAAUUAAAUACCACAUCGAUAUUUA